UCUGAUGGCCAACAAGUUUCAAGUCCCCGUGUGUCCUCACGCUGGAGGAGUCGGUCUGUGUGAGCUGGUUCAGCAUCUCAUACUGUUCGACUACAUCUCUGUGUCUGCAGAUCUCAGCAACCGAAUGUGUGAAUAUGUG